AUACCUAAAACGUUGCUUCGGCGGGAACAGACGGCCCCGUAACACGGGCCGCCCCCGCCAGAGGACCCCCUAACUCUGUUUCUAUUAUGUUUCUUCUGAGUAAAACAAGCAAAUAAAUUAAAACUUUCAACAACGGAUCUCUUGGCUCUGGCAUCGAUGAAGAACGCAGCGAAAUGCGAUAAGUAAUGUGAAUUGCAGAAUUCAGUGAAUCAUCGAAUCUUUGAACGCACAUUGCGCCCGCCAGUAUUCUGGCGGGCAUGCCUGUUCGAGCGUCAUUACAACCCUCAGGCCCCCGGGCCUGGCGUUGGGGAUCGGCGAGGCGCCCCCUGCGGGCACACGCCGUCCCCCAAAUACAGUGGCGGUCCCGCCGCAGCUUCCAUUGCGUAGUAGCUAACACCUCGCAACUGGAGAGCGGCGCGGCCACGCCGUAAAACACCCAACUUCUGAAUGUUGACCUCGAAUCAGGUAGGAAUACCCGCUGAACUUAAGCAUAUCAAUAA
rnacentral:rRNA from 1 species